UAAAUCCCUGCCUGGUGCUCCAUCUGCUGUC
rnacentral:piRNA from 1 species